rnacentral:rRNA from 1 species
AGAGUUUGAUCCUGGCUCAGGAUGAACGCUAGCGGCAGGCUUAAUACAUGCAAGUCGAGGGGUAGCAUGAUUGUAGCAAUACAAUUGAUGACGACCGGCAAACGGGUGCGGAACACGUACACAACCUUCCUACAAGUGGGGAAUAGCCCAGAGAAAUUUGGAUUAAUACCCCGUAACAUAGCGAUGUGGCAUCACAUUGCUAUUAUAGCUUCGGCGCUUGUUGAUGGGUGUGCGGCUGAUUAGAUAGUUGGCGGGGUAACGGCCCACCAAGUCUACGAUCAGUAGCUGAUGUGAGAGCAUGAUCAGCCACACGGGCACUGAGACACGGGCCCGACUCCUACGGGAGGCAGCAGUAAGGAAUAUUGGACAAUGGACGCAAGUCUGAUCCAGCCAUGCCGCGUGAAGGAUUAAGGUCCUCUGGAUUGUAAACUUCUUUUAUAAGGGACGAANAAAGGUCUUUCUAGAUCGUCUGACGGUACCUUAUGAAUAAGCACCGGCUAACUCCGUGCCAGCAGCCGC